AGCAGUGGGGAAUAUUGCACAAUGGGCGCAAGCCUGAUGCAGCCAUGCCGCGUGUAUGAAGAAGGCCUUCGGGUUGUAAAGUACUUUCAGCAGUGAGGAAGGCGGAGUCGUUAAUAGCGGCCUCGUUUGACGUUAGCUGCAGAAGAAGCACCGGCUAACUCCGUGCCAGCAGCCGCGGUAAUACGGAGGGUGCGAGCGUUAAUCGGAAUUACUGGGCGUAAAGCGCAUGCAGGUGGUUUGUUAAGUCAGAUGUGAAAGCCCGGGGCUCAACCUCGGAAUUGCAUUUGAAACUGGCAGACUAGAGUACUGUAGAGGGGGUAGAAUUUCAGGUGUAGCGGUGAAAUGCGUAGAGAUCUGAAGGAAUACCGGUGGCGAAGGCGGCCCCCUGGACAGAUACUGACACUCAGAUGCGAAAGCGUGGGGAGCAAACAGGAUUAGAUACCCUGGUAG
rnacentral:rRNA from 1 species